rnacentral:rRNA from 1 species
GACGAACGCUGGCGGCGUGCCUAACACAUGCAAGUCGAACGGACCUUCGGGUUAGUGGCGAACGGGUGAGUAACACGUGGGUGAUCUGCCCUGCACUUUGGGAUAAGCCUGGGAAACUGGGUCUAAUACCGAAUAGGACCACGCGCUUCAUGGUGUGUGGUGGAAAGCUUUUGCGGUGUGGGAUGGGCCCGCGGCCUAUCAGCUUGUUGGUGGGGUAAUGGCCUACCAAGGCGACGACGGGUAGCCGGCCUGAGAGGGUGACCGGCCACACUGGGACUGAGAUACGGCCCAGACGCCGACGGGAGGCAGCAGUGGGGAAUAUUGCACAAUGGGCGCAAGCCUGAUGCAGCGACGCCGCGUGAGGGAUGACGGCCUUCGGGUUGUAAACCUCUUUCGCCAGGGACGAAGCGCAAGUGACGGUACCUGGAGAAGAAGGACCGGCCAACUACGUGCCAGCCGCCGCGGUAACAC